AAUUAUGCACCUUCUCAAUUUGCUGUACAUAGUUGGAACCACAGAUUGCACAAAGACAGCAAUGUCACUAAUAGCUGAUGACAUCUGGGACUCAUUCAGUGAAUAAAGCAAAAUGCUUGAUUUAGUAUUUGGCAGCAUCAACUGUGUUAAAACAUGCUGCUGCAUCUACCUUUUUCAAAUUAGUCUUUUUGAUGCUAUUGAAAACAUGGCAGCGGAUUCACCUGAGUGAAAUCACUUUCAAAGGAAAAAAGUAACACAGCUAAUUUAUACAGCAGGCUUAAUGGGUACGCAAAAUUCCUUCAUAUUGCACAUCAUCGAGGUCUCCAUUCUUAAUCCUUUCCAUCAGAUUCAUCAUCAUCCCCUUCAAACUCAAGACCAGAAAUAAUCAUCGGACCAACAUUUACUGCAAUUCGAACAGCAAUUUAGUCAGGAAACAUCAACCAGACAAACUACACUUUGCAAUUAUUCCAUUAUUUUUUAAAAUUAUUUUUUGGUUUAAAAUGCCACAGAGCAUCUUGGGUGAUGAAAAUAUUGAACCAUCCUUGUAAAGAUUUGCAAUUUUUAUUCUUGAUCAUUAGCUGGAUGCAAGUAUCAAGCUUCCUAACCUUCCUACAGAUGAAUCUUAAAGAAAUAUUGGCAGGACCUAAUUGGUAUUGGAGCAGUUGCAGCAUAUUUAAGUAACUGGAAAACAAUCUUGAGAAAUUAUGAGGAAAACAACCUUGAGAAAUUAUGUGAAAAAUGGUCUCUUCGAAAGAUAUUGUUUUAGGAAUUAAUUCGAUACUCUAACACAUAUGCAUAAAAGAGGAACAAGACGCAAUAAUCUUUUCCUUCUUUUUCCUUUAUUUUUUAACAGACAUUCGUAGUGAACAUGGUGUGAUCACACUGGUCUGUCUUCUACUAGAUGGUAAUUAGAAUGUCUUGUGGGUGGGGGUAAGAAACUUGAGGUUGCACACGUGUUUCAUAUGUUAAAUUGUAAUCUUUUGCUCCUCAAACUAUGUUAUAUCUUCCCAAUGAACAGUGAUCUUAUAAGUUUAUAAAUACAAAGAUCAAAACUACAAAUAUCUCCUUAUACCUACCAAUAGCAUCAAAACCAGCUAAAUUGGGCAUGUACUUCCUGAUGUGUUCUGCAGCGGCAUUUUCUGCCUUCAGUGUCUCGCAGUUGAAAGAGACUGAAAUCUUCUGUUUUCCAUGCUUCUGUUCCACCAUGUCAACAACAUCAUUUUCCCACCUGCACGAAUCACGUAUCCAUUAAUUAUUGAAUAAUAGCUAACUUGCUUAAGAAAUUAUAAUGGGUUGGUGAUCAUGAAACUAUCAAGAAUAGGGUAUGAAUGCAUAAGGUGAACGUACAUAAAGCAACUAAAGAAAUGAGAGGAAUUAAAACCUACCAAUUCUAAUUACUCCUGAACACGGGUUCCUUAUGCAUUGAUGUUCCAUAGUCACAUAAUCAUUCCAGACUAUUAACAAGAUUUUAGUUCAAUAGAACAUUAUUGAAAAGAGAACAAGUGUGAAUAAGCAUUAGUUCAUUAUUCUUAAGAUAUCCAUGCACAUUACAGGCCAUGAAUAUAAUGGAACAAGGCAAAAAUAUGGAAACAAAGGGGGAAAAGUGAAGCUCAACAGUUCAGAUUAGUAGCACUUUAGUUUUUUUAAGUUACUUUUUAAGAAAUAAGAAAAAGAAAAAAGUUUUUUUCAUCUUUGUAAUAAUGAGCACUUUGCUAGUGGCCAACAAACUGCAGAUAUUAAGGCUGAUAUGCAAAUACCACUUAGCUCAGAUUAGUAUUUUCAAUACUUCCUUCUGGAAAUCUUGCAUUGCAACCAUACAUGUAGAGACUACUGACAUUUGCAUGAUUUGACCUUAAGCAGCACAGAGAUUAUAACCAACACUCCCCUCCACACACNNNNNNNNNNNNNNNAAAGAAAAGAAGAGGGAAAAAAAAGAAACAACAAUAAAAAAAAGUUCUAUAGAAAAGAACAGCCUUCAUUAGGAAGUGGCUAACUAAGACAGGUGAAUUGAUUAAUAUAUUUCCAAUCAUAGAGGCCAGGCAGCUUCUUAUUCCAUGAAUGGAUGGUCAAAAUGCAAUAUAACAAUCCAAUCUGUUAACUGGUUUCAAUGAGAAAAAAUUAACUACUUAAUUGGUUAUUAGAGAAUUCCCUGCAUAUUUUGAUCUCUGACUGCAUGGAUGCUUAUAAGACAGACUUACCCAUGAACAUGAUCAAUAUUUUGGAGCCGAGCAGCAUCAUGUCCUCUACACUCCACAACCACCACUCGCUCUCUUUUGCUCUGUUAAACACCCACUAUUGUUUGUAAGCAAAGAAAGUCUGGAAGCAGGCUACAGUAAAGAGCCAAAAUUGGUGUAAUUUAGAAAAAGGAAAACUGCAGAAGUGAGAAAGGAUUAUAUUAUGAGUCUUACAGCAUAAUCAAUGAUUGAGAGCUUAAUCAAGCGGUAAUCUUCUCCUCUGCUGCAUUCCCUCUCACAAGAUAAUUCUUCAAUGAAAGAAACAAUUAAUGGUAAUUUUCAGUUAUUUUCACUUACCGAGGAAUGAAAAAUAAAUGUAAUCAAAAAAGGAGGAAGCAAAAUAAAAGGAUAUUAUCUACAGUGAUAUGUAUGAUACAAAAUCAGUCGCUGAAUUCAAUUGCAGAAUUUUUUUUCUUAUCAUCUUGCACAAAAGCUCAUGCAAAAAAAAAAGGCAACUGAUUGUAACUUGCAUUUGUUUCACCAUUGCAACAUUGUAACUCGAGAACGUCACCAACCUAAAUAAUGCUUCAAGGCACUAACUUUUCACCAUUAAUGUUUCUUCAGCCUGUUUGCAGAACAACAAUCAUCCUCCUAAGCAUCAAUAAGCACCAAAUGCUAUACACAUCAGGAGCUGUUACCCCUCAUCCAACUCGAACAAAGCAAACAGGCAUUCCAGAGAGAAAUCUGAAUAUCUAAACCUUGUUGUAAAAUAUUAGCUUUGAUAAACUUUUGAAAGACCAGAGUAUGAAAACCAAGAGUAUGAUAACCAAAUAAUAUUUGCAAUAUGGGUUUGUGCAUCAAACAUUUGAUUUGUAUCUUGCAGUUAGGUAAUAUAAUAUCUACAUUGUAUAGCUGAUUCAAGCACUUGCUUUCCUGCCUGGUAUCCAAUACCUUCUUGUAAUCAUUAGUUGAGCACAUGACUCAUGCAGUUUAUGUUCUUGAACAAUGCCAAAGGCAUUUCACUACCUUAGUUUUAUCAUGAGGAAGGAUGCAGAGAUAGAUGUGACUGCCUCAAAUAGGUCUAUGGUGGUUUGGGGCAUGGAUCUUAGUGUCACACUGCUGUCAGAUAUCCAUGAGUCUAAGAGAAUGCAUACCAAUGAUGGGGAACUUGAGAUAUAUGUACAAGUUUCUAACCUUUUUUUUUCUCUAAUUGAAGGGAUAGAGCGAGGGAAUCAGAAGAAGGUUGAAUUUACGGAACAAUAAAGCAUAUAUUUGAAAAAUGAAUUGAUUUGAAGAAAUUGGGGCAUGUGUAGCAAACCUUGUUUGCAAAGACAACCUGGUGAGGAGGUUAAAAGGGCGAGAAAAGUUUAUCAGGACAAAAGUCCACCGCAUGUUAAGAGAGUCCAUCUUAGAGCAAUGGAGGGGAAAGAUUGACCUUCAAACACAGAAUGUUGUACUCGAUUGAGAAUUAGGAACAUUUUGCUUUUACCAAGGAAACAAAAGAGCACAAGGAAGUGGGGUGAAAAAGGAUUCACCUUGUCAUUCACCCAUCUCUUUAGCAUUCUUAAAAGAGUUUCAUAUUUCAAUCAUAAAACGUUGAAAGCCCCGACUUCAAUAAGAAGUAUCCCAGUUCGCCACGGUUUUUUUUUUUUUUUGUACUAAUUCAAUUUUCUCAACCUCGGGAUGAUCUUUACCUUCCUCGUACUACCUCGCAGCACCUCAUGAAGACAAAAAAAAAUAUCCAAAUUCACCAUAAAAUUAAUGGGGAAAAAAGCAGUAAAUGAAAGAAAAACAUGGCUUCAGGUUCCAAACGAGAUAAUAUAGAUCUAUUCCAACAGCUAAAACAAUGUUGCAUUUGCUCUAAAACCCUAAAUCCUGCAAGAAACUAAGCUCUUUUUACACCCAAACAGCCAAAUUAAUGCUGCUCCAACUUAAAAGUUACCAAGAAUGGCUGAUAAAGAAAGAGAAAUUCACUAGGAAAAGCAGCCUGAAAUGAAUCAAAUGCAUCAAAAAGGCAAUAAUUUGGUUUGGAAAUCGAUACCGGUGCCAUGAAGUCCGUAGCAGAUGGACUCCGGGAGCCGGAUGAAAUGGCCGGAGAUCGAUCCGCAAGGAAGCAGGGCGAUGGAUGCUAUCCCUUCCAUCACCUCCUCCUCCUCCUUCGCUCGCUUCCCCUUCCUCCCUGAACCAUCUCCCAUCCCCUCGCCCUCGUUGCGAUCACUGCGCGAUCUCUCUUCCGUCGGCUACCGAAAGUUACGAAUCGGGCGUGAGAUCCGAUUUCGGUACGGGAAAUCCUUGAUCCGACCCACUUAUUACCCGACCAAAUCCAACGACGAGCAGGUGGAUUUGUAAUUGAUUUUUGGUUAGCCCGUUCCAACCAUCAAAUAUACCCUAUCGGACUAGAACGAAAUAAAUAUGAAACUCAAUUUUGAAUCAAUACAAACUUCAUAUCAAACCAUACUAUCCCAUAUCCUACUGUACCAAUUUGUACCGAUGCAUACUAAGUAUACAGAUUUAUAUCCAAAUAUACCGAUCUAUAUCAAAGUGUACCGAGAUAAAAAUUAAAAAAAUAAUAAAAAAACUAUUUUAGUACAAAAUAAAUAUGAUACUAUACUGAAUGUACCAUAUCAAAUCGAUAAAAUAUUAUGAUUUAUGAUACCGAGAUUGAGAAUCUUGUCGAUCAAUUUAUAAUAUGUGUUCAAUAAUCAGAUUAGUUUGGUGCCGUCCAUCCACAACCCAGAUUUGAGAAUGGCCCAAUAUUAACCAAAUUUACAAAGUGUGGAUGCAUUAAUGUGUUAAUUGUUAAAAUUGUAUUUUUGGACUUUUGCCUAUAUUUAUACUUUAUAUAAAAGAGAAUAAUUCUGUCCUAUAGUGACGAUCUGGACCCUUGGAUUUUAUUUGACCAAUCUUGGCCACCAAAGCUACAUCAGCUAUCAAAGAAACCUUCACAAGAAAACGAGGAUUCAACUAAAAGAUUGAUUUUGAUAAAUUUAUUCUAAUUGUCCAAAAUAAGACCUAGAUCCUAUCCCUUCUUAUGUUUUUGGAGGGGUGUAAAAUUCAUUCUUGAGCCAUUUCUUUGAAAAUUCUGCAUCUCUCUGCAAUUUUCCUGUUUUUAGCCUAGAUAUCAUCUAUUAGCUAUUAGAAUGAUUUCAACAAUAAAUAUGGAUCAAAUUUAUAUAUAUNNNNNNNNNNNNNNNNNNNNNNNNNNNNNNNNNNNNNNNNNNNNNNNNNNNNNNNNNNNNNNNNNNNNNNNNNNNNNNNNNNNNNNNNNNNNNNNNNNNNNNNNNNNNNNNNNNNNNNNNNNNNNNNNNNNNNNNNNNNNNNNNNNNNNNNNNNNNNNNNNNNNNNNNNNNNNNNNNNNNNNNNNNNNNNNNNNNNNNNNNNNNNNNNNNNNNNNNNNNNNNNNNNNNNNNNNNNNNNNNNNNNNNNNNNNNNNNNNNNNNNNNNNNNNNNNNNNNNNNNNNNNNNNNNNNNNNNNNNNNNNNNNNNNNNNNNNNNNNNNNNNNNNNNNNNNNNNNNNNNNNNNNNNNNNNNNNNNNNNNNNNNNNNNNNNNNNNNNNNNNNNNNNNNNNNNNNNNNNNNNNNNNNNNNNNNNNNNNNNNNNNNNNNNNNNNNNNNNNNNNNNNNNNNNNNNNNNNNNNNNNNNNNNNNNNNNNNNNNNNNNNNNNNNNNNNNNNNNNNNNNNNNNNNNNNNNNNNNNNNNNNNNNNNNNNNNNNNNNNNNNNNNNNNNNNNNNNNNNNNNNNNNNNNNNNNNNNNNNNNNNNNNNNNNNNNNNNNNNNNNNNNNNNNNNNNNGCUAGCCAUUUUGGGUGAGGUCUUAGAUUGUUGCAAAUGGUAUCAGAACAGAUAUGGCCUAUAACCUAUGUGGACAAGAGAACACUGCAGUACGGAUCCAUUGGGGCUAACCAUGGGCCGAUCGUGGUGUUUGUAAUUAGAUUUGAAUGGAUUUGAAUCCUUAGCCUGACGAGGACGUCAGGGUAUGAAUGGAGGGAGUAUGUGAGGAUCCAUGCAGGCGUGUAUUUAGUCUCACAUCGGUUAUUUACUAGAUAGAUUUUAAAUAGUUAUAUAAAAUCAAAGAAUUCAAAUAAUACCUUUCGGCUAGUUAUUUUGAGUGAGGUUCUAGAUUGUUGCAGGUAUAUGACCUUCCAGAUGUAAAAAUUAUCCUAAUUGUCCAGAGUAUGGCCCAAUAUUUAAUUUCUGUAGAUUUUAAAGAGCGUGAGAUCUUUCAAGCGUCAGAUCAUCUGAAAUCCGCUGAAAACGUGUUUCCAGCGUGCACAAAGGAGUCAUGUUCCUGGAAACACGCUUGAAACGUAUCGUUGGAUGAUUGAGAAUAAGUUAUUAUCUAAUAAUUUAUGUCAAGGGCUCUGUACAGAGGAAAGAUCCAUGCAUCUGCUGGCUCGCUCGCCAAAGUCUGAAGUGUGCUCACGUUAUCCUUUCCCAAGUUUAUCCUCUAUUCUCUUAUUCUUUGUUCUUUUUGAGCAAUGAUAUGUUUUUUUAAUUUCAAUUUUAUUUUUUAAGUGGUGAAGACUUUAACAUGCUUCUUUUUUUUUUUUCUGUUUGAAUUUACGUUUGAUUUUAGUGGGGGAGUUCCCUGCUUUGAUCUCCUAAAGAUGAAGAAUUGACCUCUUCGAGAGAGAAUGGAAUGAAAGAUGCUUUUUUAAUUAAACUAUAAUUUAAGAUCACCUUCAAAAUGAAAUAGAAUAGGAAUUUUAUCCGCCUUUAUGCUCAAAAGAUGCACAUGAGCACGAUCUUGUGUUUUAAUCUUGUUUUGGACCAUCCUCAGUAAAAGGACCAUACAAGUUAUACUUGGAAGGAUCACAGUCACCAAAGGAAUCAUGCUCAUAUUUUCUUUGCUUAAACAAAAUUAAUUACAAAUAUUCAUAAAUUAUAUUAUUUUUAUAUAUAUAUGUGCGCGCGCGCGCCCCCCGCAAUUACAUAUAUAUGACUACGUUUUAUGUAUGCAAAAGACUAAACAGUUUCGGUGCGAAUAUACAUCUUUAGCCAUAUAUAUAUAUAGGAACAUACAAAGACACUUUUUUUAUUCAUGGAUGCAUUUAUAAAUUAGCAAUACAUGGAACCACAUUCAGGUAGAAAUAACUCAUUAAAUUCAGAUGCUCUAAGGUGCAUAUUUUAGACUAUAGAGAGCUGUGCAUGCUCAAAAACUGCCAUAUCGUUCAUCUUGAAAAUGGAGGACUUUCACACAAUGCCUCAACUGCGUGUUAGAGAGAUCAACGAAGAACAUCAUUGUUAAGAGAUUGUGCAAAAACUCUAUUUUUGAGAUAAAUGACAUGGCAGCUAUCCCAGCAUACUCACCCAAAGGGGAUGGGAAGUCAAUGGUAUUAUACUUCGUAAUUAGACUGAACCAAUCCAAAGGAGAGGCCACGUCACUAAUAAAAUUCUCGGUCUUGGUCAAUGACGGUGUGGGCGACCAGCCUUACGGUGUUACACCAGGCAGCUAAAGUUUUUGUUUUUUGACUCUCUCAAGUCAAACCCAGUUAGCCAAGAUCACAACCAGGCUUUUUUUGAAGCUUUAAGUGAAAGUCUUUCGUGUAUUUCUACAUACAUGGGACGUUUUGUUAUGCUUACCUGCUGAUGGAAAUAAGCAAGCUUUGACUGCUCAAGCCAAACAUAAGAAAAAAAUUGUGGGUCAUGGUUGGUUUGAACAAGGCUCUUGGACUGGGUUGGUUUGAACAAGUCUUUGAAUUCCAGAAUAAGUUGGUCAGAAUAGACCAUGGAAAAGAUCUAGAGAACUUGUCAUGCUAUAAGAACCUUCCCAUAUGAAUGUUUUGGUAAAUUUUUGAAACUAGAUAUUAGAAAUUAUUUAUGGAACGAAAUAAUGGCCAAACUUGGAUGUUCCUUUCAUUCUAGAACUAAUAAAUAUCAAAAUCUUUUAUCCUGUUGCUCAUACUUAAUUAUGUGAAGCAGUUUCCUUGUAAGUGUGCCAACAUGCAAAUAAUGUUUCUCGAAAGGACAGUAAUACUUGGGCAUAACUUUCGCAUGGACAGAAGUGAAAUAUUUACCAUCAGUUAUUUAACAAGUGAAAUACAUAUAGAAAAUAAGAUUAUAAAGGAUUGGCAAAGAACGUAAGGUUAUAUAUAAUUCUCAUAUUGAUCAUGUAAUUCAUGAAUUGUUGGAGAUGUGUAAUAUUUCUUAUUCCACAAAACACAAAGUGAAUUAGUUGGCUCAUGAAAAAGUUAUUGGAGAAAAAAAAAUUAAAAAUUCAGGUGUCAAGAGAACACUGGGCCUAUGUCUAGCUUCCAUGGAUGUCUGCAUUCUAAAAUGAAAGUAGAAGCCAAGCAAAGCAGGUGAAACCUAGGGAGGAGGAACUGACCUUCUUCCAAUGCUGGCAGCUCCAGUUGCCAACCAACUUUGAAAAAGAAAGACACUCCAAGGUGGGGUCGUAGAAAAGGCAGGGCACAUCUUCCAUCAGGACAUGAAGGAUUAGGUGAGCUUUGAACCUACUCUUUUGGUAAUAAUAAGACACAGUACCCAACAUUUUAGAUGUACUGCUACUAUAGUGAGCUGCAAUUUUUCCAUCAUUCAAUCAAAGUUAAGCAGUUAUCUCUAUGAUCAUCCAACAGAACAUAAUCCAACUCUGGGAUGAAGCCUGAAACCAACAUAAAUAAAUUGAUUCAUUUGUUCAUGCAUGAAUAUUUGUGUAGAUUCAUACAUGAACAGAUCUCAGUGUAAUAAAAAAAAAGAGUAAGUUUUUUUUUUUUUAACAGGGAGUGGGAAUCUAGCACUGUCAGAUCACUGUUGUUUAAGAUGCGAUUAAGAUUGCUCAACCAAAAAAAAAAAAAAAAGAAAUGAGAAUAAGAUUAGUAAUGAGGCCCUGAGAACAGUUGCCAAUCAUUUGCUUUAUUUUAUGAAGCUUUAUUUCUUGGGUUCGGGUUGUGUCUUCCGCGCAGAAGAAUGAUUGAUCUUCCUUCGCGGUCUCAUCCGUUGGAUCCCAUAUAGCACAGAUCGCAAAGCAAUCCAAAAAUUCCUUAUCCGCAUGCACAUAUCUCGAAGGGGAUAUUGCGCGAUCCAACGGUCGAUGGAGCGAAAGAAGCUGAAUCGUUCUUUCGCGCGAAAGAUGCAACCCGAACCCCUCUUUUAAUUAUUCGGAAAGCUAUAGCUCUGCGUGCGGGACCGGAGGAAGAUGGCUUUUUUAGCGCUGGCCAUAUGGACCAUAUCUUAAGGUCAGUAGACAAAUCUAUUGAAGACCCAUUUCUCCCACGACGAUUUCUCUUGUCGGAGAGAGUGGGAGGAAGGGGAAAAGAGGCUCAGAUCGAGGGAAAAGCUUGCGCCUUUUUGCACAACAACGCCAUUUUUAUGCUAAAACUCCUCUGAGAACAGCCGCUAAAACCUUGGAAAAGAGCUUCCUUUGGAGCCAUUAUCGACGAUUUUUUGGUGUUUAUAGGUCUGGCAUCAAUUGUUUUCCUUUCGUUGAUUUUAUGCUUUAAUCCAAGGCUUGUAACCUUAUUUCGUGCAAACUUUUUUGUGGUGGUUGUUGUUUUUGGUGUUGUCUAUACUGUGAUAUUUGACUAAUGGAAGCAGUUUGGAUCAGAGAUGGAAUUCAUUUCAUGUUUUUUCCCUUUUGGUUUAUUAUUUUUUUUUUUGAUGUCUGGAUUUCCAGAUGGAACUCUCAUUCUUCUGUAAUUAUCUUAAUGCUUUAAUUUUGUAUAUUUUUUUUUAUAUUCUUAGGAUGAUCAGAUUAGUUCAUCCAUUUUUGUGCUUGCAGCUCUGAGCGUACUCCUUGUUCUAGACCGUUGCAGAUACAGUCCCAGUUCUUUUAUUGGUGGAUUAAAUACCAGCUCUAAGCUUUCAUAUUUUGGUUACUUUUAACUUCCACCUUCAGGUGUUAGCCCUAUUUGGAAUUUUUCCUUUUUUUCUUUCUUUUCUUUUUUUGUUUGCUCUCUUAAAUCUUCUAAGAAAUCCAGCUUCUCAGUUACAACAUAUUUAGGCGGACUGCAAUCCAUAUCUAGAUACGCGGCUGCUUUUAGUUUGUGUUGGUUAAUUGGAAUUUUUGUCCAUAAAACCUUGUUAUCUGAAUUAUAAAGUUAUGCUGCCCUGUUAUAUCUGUAGCUUUUGUUCUACAUCUUCUUAGAUUGACCUGAAUGGAAAGAAAAAGAAACGAACUCAUGCUUUUUACUGGUGAAGAAAAUUCAUAACUUCUGACAUACUCCAGGCAUAUUCUUUCUUAUCUUUUGUUCUGUCUGAAAUCUAAAGCAAAGAUUCCAGAACAAUCUUUGUUCAUGGUAUAAGAAAAAAAAUUGGUCUGAUUUUUCCUUUUUUUUCAAGGAAAAUGCCAAUACAAGAAACAUUAUUACUUUGCCUUUUCUGUUUUUCUAGCUAUGCUUGAAUAAGAUGGUUAACCUAUCUUUUUUUUUCUGCUUUUUUGCUUUAGGUUAUUUAUUAAAACAUCAAAAUAUCAGAGUUAAAGCCAUGGGUUUGCACCUUCUGUUGUUUCUUGUUCUCUGUGGUCUUCCUGGUAUUUUUUCUGAAGAAUCCGCGGAUGUAACUGUUAUAGUCAGGGGGUCUUCCACGGUAGCCAAAACUGAUGAUCAUUUUGUAUGUGCGACUCUUGAUUGGUGGCCUCCUGAGAAGUGUAAUUAUAAUCAGUGCCCAUGGGGACAAUCUUCUAUUCUAAAUUUGGUAAGUCUGCCAUUUUUUCCUUUUUUCUUUUAGAAGUAUGGUGGUAACCUGCUGGAUCAAGUCCUGUUGGCUCCCAAUAUGCUAUUGUUGACGACACCAUUCGCUAUUUCUGCAUUCUUUAAGAACUUGAGCCAAACCAUUUUACAACUACAACAAAAAUUGAUACUAUUUCUUUUUGCUGGAUUCAGGACUUAACCCAUCCUUUCCUAGCGAAAUCCAUUCAAGGUAAGUUGAAUUUUUUCAAUAAUUUGUUUAUGUUUCAUUUACUUUUAAAUAUCUGCCCACAAAUCCAAAUUCUUCUAGUCACAUCAUCAUCAUCAUCCUCAUGCCACUAUGACCACCUAAAUUGCUAAUUCCAUUUUAGAAUGGUGGCCGUGAAUUUUUUCAGCUUGUACCACCUAGAUGCCUAGUCACAAGUUCGGCAUAUGGAAUAAUUCAUCUAGAGGUAGAGGCCCAUACUUGAAAAAGGUUCAAGUUUGCCAAAACUUCGAAAGCAUUUGGACAACCAAAAGUUAAAAAAAAAAAAAAAAGAAAUUUGAUAUGUAUACCUGUAUCAUUCAUAGGAAAACAAGACAGGGACAAGAACCAUAGAUAUUAGAAAUACCAUUGCUAGCAACAUAUAUUAGUAUGUAAUCGGUAGGUGAUUCUUGAAUAAUUCAUGAAUAAUUUGAAACAUUUGUAAAUAACUGAGUAUUCCAAUUAUAUUACCUAUAGUAUUUUGGAAGACCAUUUGCCCAAGGAAAAUAAAAUGGGGCUAAUCCUAGAAUUUUUUUAAGUUGUUUGAAAAAUAAUGUUACUAUGCCUAUACGCAUGGCCAUAAGUUUCAGCCAUUAAAACAAUUUUGAUGGCUGUUAGAUUCUAUGCUAGUUUUGACCAUAAUGCCUGUAUUCUAAUGUCUUUUGAUGAUUCAAGCCUUGCUGGGACUAUGAACGGGUUUCUUAAUAGCAAUUUCUAUUUUGCUUACUUUUUUUUGGGAUAAAACUGCUGUUGCAUUUUGUCUCUAAAAAUUUGUUUGCGGUUCAUCUGUAAAUUGCAGCCUUCAAUUCCCUGCGGAUAAGAGUUGGGGGCUCUUUGCAAGACCAAGUGAUGUAUGGUGUGCCAAAUUUUGGUGGUCCGUGCUUUCCAUUCAAAAAGAUGGCUGGUGGUUUGUUUGGAUUGUCCAAGGGAUGUUUAAGCAUGGAAAGGUGGGAUGAGCUAAACUCUUUAUUCCAGAAGACAGGGUAAGGCUGGUUCAGAACUUCUAUUUCUCCUCUCUUUGCUGUUACUUUAUGUAUUCUUAGUUGAACACGGUUGAUAACUUUGAUUGUUGACAUCAAGAAAAACUCAUAUAAUCUAUAUACAUCACAUGAACAUGGGAUCAGUAUACCUUCAAACAUAGCUAUUCAAUAGCCUGUCAUCAUUGGUGAAGAUAGUGCUUGCAUAUAAUAGUGCUUUUCAGAAUCAAAUUUGCCGUAGACAAGUCAUUAAUCCAUUUUUUCUGAAAUAAUUGAAAUUAUGUGCGGCAUUCAACUUACAUUUGAAUCAGGUAUUUGCAAACUGGCUGCUUCAAGAGCCUCAUUGCCAUUCACUUUUAUUCUAAGUGAUAUGAAAUUCUUGCUAUUGUCAUGAGGAAAAUAUUAAUGAUUUUUCUAGGUAUAUUAACUAGCUUUAGAACUUGAACAGCCCAUAAAGUAUCAUAAAUCUCAUUGCUUUGCAAUUAUAGCAAUUAAUUUAUUACUUGAGUAGCUCUGGGAUCAUUUUGCAGCAAAUUAUUGUAACCAAUUCGAAAUCUUAUGUUUAUUUAUAUGGAGGUCAUCAUAAAUAUUUAUGUAAAAUUUCUCCUAUGUUUAUUUUGUAUGCAAUAUGAGGAAAACUUUUGUUCAUUGGAAGCUUUGUACCAACAUGAUAGACAGGUCACAGAUACCAAAAAUUUUGAUCUGAUUGAUAACUUUUGUCAUGAUUUCAGAGCAACUGUGACUUUUGGCCUUAAUGCGCUGAAUGGGAGGCAACAUAUACGCAAUAAAGUCUGGGGAGGUGCUUGGAACUCCAGUAAUGCUCGUGAUUUCAUAGGAUAUACAAUUUCUAAGGGUUAUCCGGUUGAUUCAUGGGAAUUUGGUAAGCAUGUUUCAACCUUUACUCUUUUCCUUCUCUUUCUAUUUCAUCAAAUCAUAAUGCAUCCUUCUUUGCAAAUCAGGAAAUGAAUUGAGUGGACAUGGAAUUGGUGCAAGUGUUGGUGCUGAACAAUAUGGAAAGGAUCUUGUUCAUCUUAAAUCCAUCCUUGAUGAGUUAUAUAAGGAUUCUCGGUCAAAGCCACAGCUGGUUGCACCUGGAGGAUUCUUUGAUCAGCCAUGGUAUGCUCAUCUUCUUCAAGUUUCAGGAUCAGGAGUUCUCGAUGCAAUGACACAUCAUGUAUAUAAUCUAGGUGGAGGUGAGUGUGGUGCACAUGAGCUAUAUGUAGCAUCUCCAUUUUUUGUCUGACAUGCUAUGCAUCAAGAUUCCUUUUGCAAAAGAAGAAAAAAGUCAAUUCAUUUGUUAUCUUUUUGUUACCUUAUACAUUUUCUUUCAGAAACCUCUACCUACGAAAUAUGUACUACAGUCGUUGCAUGUAAGUCACAAGUUUUUGGAGGCAUUUUUACUUUUUUGGGCUUACAUGGGAGAACACUUUUUUGCUGCCAUUGUUUAUUUGUCGUUAAUACUUAAUACAACAGAAUGCGUCAACCAUGUAGAAAACUCUGUUAUAUUCAAGUGCUUCUUAAUUCAUUCCAACACACAAACAUGAUAUAUUGCAAAUUAGGUAAACAACCACAUAAUGCGCUGUCAAUCUUAUUAAAAAAUUAUCAUUGAUCUGGAUAGGCAUUUCCUACCCUUUCUCUGGCAUGGCUCCUGGGAGCUCAUAGCUUCACUCCCUCCACUUAUGCUCUUCCUGUCUGCUUAUUUUCUGUAGCUGUUUGAGGGUGGCUUUUCUUCCAUCUGUUGUGUGGGGGAAUUGCUCUAGGGGGAUGUGGCACAAAGACUGUGCCUCUGUAUUUUGGCUUCUUUCUCUUUGUAGCCCAUCCAUGCUGUCUUCUGGGCUGGGGAGCCUACUGAUGUUUAUGGCUCCCUGUUCUAUUCUUUCUUCUUCUUUUUGAGGUGUUCAUCACCUUUUUUUGUUAUGAUUCCAUCCAACUCAAUGAAAUUGUGGUGAUUUUGUCACCAUCUGGUCAAAAAGAAAUUAAAUAUGGUUAUAUUUAGUUUUGAUAUAUGAACUCAUGUUAGUGGAUGAUAACCAAUUAUUUCACCUUUUUCUUGGUAAUUACUAAUUAUUUGGACUUGAACUUCAGGUAAUGAUCCUCAUAUCAUAAGCAAAAUAACGGAUCCACAAUAUUUAAAUCGCAUAGCUGAUACAUUCAGAAGUCUCCAACUUACCAUAAAGAGUUAUGGACCAUGGGCUUCUGCUUGGGUUGGUGAAGCUGGUGGUGCAUACAACAGCGGCAGUCAUCUUGUGUCCAGCACUUUUCUAAACAGCUUUUGGUACUAUUCCUUUCUUUUCCCCCAUAAAGUCCUCAGGUUAAUCUAAACUUUCUACUGAAUUAAUGGAAUGCGAAAAUAUUAAUCUUAUUUACAUGACAUAAAUGCAGGUAUCUAGAUCAACUUGGAAUGGCUUCAAAGUAUAACACUAGGGUGUAUUGUAGACAGACUUUGAUUGGUGGAAACUACGGACUCCUUGACACAAAAACUUUCAUACCGAAUCCUGAUUACUACAGGUGAGACCAUUUAAACCACAUAUGGACAUAUUAAUCUUUUAUGUGCUUCAAAAAACAUGCCUAAACCUCAGAUCUACCACUAUUCUUACCUCUAACCAGUGCACUGUUGUGGAAUCGGCUCAUGGGGAAUGGAGUUCUUUCCAUUGAUCUCAGUGGCUCUUCAUACUUACGUGCAUAUGCUCAUUGCAGGAAAAGAAAAGUAUGCCCUUAUCUCACCGUAUUCCCUGAUUUCAUUUCCUGUAGGUCUUUAUAUUGCUAUCUGUUAAACAAUGGUUCUCCAAAUAUUGAGGCUAAUAUUUAGUUUUAUUUCAUGCUUGCCUCUAGACUCAAACUGAGUCAACUUACAUAUUUUUUCAUAUCUGGAAUGUAAUUAUGUCUUGACAUGUAAAAUUUUAAAUCAACACAGUUUGUUUGAGUAAAAAGUCCGGAAUUAUAUUUAUAAUUAUUGAGUAAACCACUGAAUUCUGCCACUGAACAAUUGUAUGUUAAUAUAGGGGAAAAAAAUUUCUUAUAUUUUUUCAUAUCAAACUGCGCAUUGGAAGUGCAAGUUUUUUUUCCAGUUUUAGAAAAUCACCUCGGGCUACUAUUGUAAUUACAUUUUCGUCCCUGUGUCAAAACUAAUGAACAUUGCAUUUUCCUAUCAUGCUCUCUCUUAGCAGUCAGGUGUUUCCCUACUCCUGAUAAACCUAAGCAAAUCCACUGAGUUCAUUGUGACAGUAAGAAAUGACAUCAAUGUUAAUCUUGCCGAGGGAGGAGGCAUUCAAAGGGAUGGCUCUUUUGUUCAUGGUCUUAAAAGGACAGUUUCCUGGGUCGGAAGGAGAGCAUCAGACCAGUCAGAGACGAGAGAAGAAUAUCAUCUAACUGCGAAGGAUGGAAACCAUCUAAGCCAAACUGUGCUGCUUAAUGGGACUCCUUUGGAGCUCACUGAAGAUGGAGAUAUUCCACCUUUGAACCCUGUACUCACUGCAGCCAACUCACCUAUAUCAAUAGCUCCCUUAUCCAUUGCAUUUGUCGUCUUUCCAAAAUUUGAGGCUCAAGCUUGUGUAUGACAGUUGUUUACAGAUCUAGCUAAUACUACAGUUGUAUAUGUUCGCUGAUUUGUACUGACUUAUUGAAUGUAUACAAGAGCUUGGUCAUAGGACCAAAUAGGUCCCAAAUGUUUUUGACUCGAAAGAAUAAAAAGCAUUAUAAAUCUUCAGAUCAUAGUCUUUCAUUUUGCUUCAAUAGAGUAAAUUUUCUAAUAUUAUAGUGAUAUUUAUGCAUGUUUUCUUUUGGACCUUGGUUGCUAAAACGAUAAAAACAAAUAUGGCUUUUGAUAUAUACUUGGGAGCAUCUGGUAUAGCAGUCACAUUUAACUGAAGUGCCUAUUAGGCUUGAUAUGCUUAUUGAGAUUAAAUAGUGAAAUUGAAGUACAAACAGGCUGAUUAUUUAAAGUUUGAAGAUCAUGAUCACAAAGUUGAUGUGAAAUGCCACCAAAAUGCUGUUUACCUUUAAUGAGAAGUUUGAAAUUAUUUCCAGAGACCUGGAGGGGACAACUACUCUUAGCUUUAUUUGGGGUGAAUCAGUUGACAUUCAGAGAACCCUAAGUGGUACUACUUACUUUUAUAUUUGGGACCAUUGAAGUCAAGUGGAGGAUGUCUCAAGUAUCCAAUGCAAUAAUAAGAAUUUAAUCUAAUUCAAAUUUAGAUUUUAUAUUUGAACACUAAAUCUAUAUUUGGUUAAAGAACAUUUCAGUGCACAAAACUCUUGCCACUAUGGAAUCUGAGGAGGGUCAUAUGUAUGUAGCCUAACUCUCUUGUGUAGAGAGAGGAUAUUUUUAUAUUUCAAACAUGUGAAACUCACAGUGAAGCAACCUAACCAUUGCGUCAAGGCCGUCCCUCUCAAGCUUGAAGCAUUAGAAAAAUUGAUGAAGGGCGAUGGAUUCUCAGAGUGUAUCUAGUGCAAGGUUGCUAAAAAAUUUUCUCACCCAAAAAGGCUUAUACUGAAGCUAUCAGACCUUCCCUGGUGUUAUGGAAUUCGAGAGUUCAUUAAAGGUGUACACUGAAGCGAUCAGAUGUUAAGGUCAAGUGCAGAUCAGCUAUUGUCCUUGAAAGUGAUUCCAGGUCUGUCUACAUUUAAGAUCAGGGAGCUUGAACCUGAGCACAAGCAAUUAACCAAUAGGUGGUUUUUUUGGUACACAAGCAGAGCACAACACAAUUUAUACAUGGCCAGGUGCCGGAGCUCGCAAUCACAGAUGAGAAUUUUGAUCCCAAGAGUAUCCGCAUUCCAAUGCAGACAAAGCAUGGCAUUAGCACAUCUUGUACACACUCAUAUGCUACAUAACUUCAAAAAGAAUUUGGACCAAAAGACAAAAAUGUAUAUAUCAUGAUGCUGGAAAUAUGUCGAAAGGGCAGAGCUGAAAACAUUAAAAUGUUCAUAAUGAAUCAUGAAUUAUUUGCACUUAUUGUCAUAUGAAUAAUCCAUAGCAUGCAUCAAACAUUCAAAAGAAUAUACACAUGAAAAUUUAUAUAACUAGUGCAUUUUGCAUUUAGGAAUAUUUUAUUGUGAUUUCCAGUUGCCACUAUGGGCAGCAUAAUAUUCUUAUUCUGUAUCUAGAGCAAGAUCCUCUCAGAAACAAGAAGAUAACCCGGUGAACCCAGCUCGGUGGCUGCAGUGCAGCAAAGUCUGACUUGCACCCUUUGACUUCAACUUUCCUUAACCGAGGUUGUUCCUGUACUAUCCUUUAACGGCCACCAUCCUCUAUGAAGAGGAAUACCUACAGAAGACUAAAGAAACCUUGUGACAGCAUUGCCUCUUGGCUUGUGAAAGCAAUGAAACAAAUGAUGCCCACGGCCAGAGAGAGACAGGCUAAGCAAAAGAAUUAUCUGCACAUUUCUUAUGAGUUAUGAAUGGUAAGAAAUAUCCUACAAUCCCCAGAUUUAUAUGGGGUUUCUUUCACAAUAAUCUCCAUAACCGCUACAAUCAAAAGAUGAUUACAGGACCAAAAAAGACUGGUGAUCUAAAAUAAAUUAUCAGAUCUUGAAGAGAGAAAAAAGAUGGGUAAUCCAAUCCAUGCUUCUGUAUGCGAGAUCAUGCAGUCUGCUGCUCCACCCAUAGCAAUGCAGAGAGCAUCAUCCGUGCCAAAAAAAUGGUGUCACAUCUCAUAGUAGCCAUCAAAGAAAUACCUUACAAUAUGAUGAAAACUGAUCACUAUGUAACAAAAUGAACUGAACCUCCAUUGCCACCAGCAAUGCAGCCAUUACUAAUAAAGGGAAACAGCUGGGAGGGACGACUCCUGAGCUUGACAGCAUCGCUCAAGGGAUUGAUUUCUCAACAUUCUUAAUGAAGAUCCAGAUUUUAGAUGCAAAAGAUUGACCAUAACUACGUCUCUCCUACUACCCUCAUCUCUACUUCAUCCUGUCUUGCCUUCUGGUCUUUUAUUGGGGCUCCAAGAUAUGACAGUUCCUGAUGAAGUCAUUGGAGUAGUUUACAUGCUUUGUCCAGAAUGAUUGGAGAUGCUUAUAGCCAAUCUCCAACCAUGGCUUACACUGCCCAUUAUAAUGGAUCACAGCAGCCUUGCUGACACUGUCAAGGUCAGUCUUUUCCUGAUAACCCAAGCCUAGCAUGUGCCAAGAUGGGUCGAUAGGAUGUAUGUUGCCUCUGAAUGCUAUGAGCGCCGGUGGCAAUGUUCCAAGCUUCCACAAUGUCAGAUUUGACUUCAGAUUCUGCAAUCCGAGAAUGAGACGGGUUAAAUCCAGAAAUAUUACAAUAAAAACACAAAAAUAUGCAGAUAUAUGUACGUAUAUGUGUGGUGUCCGUGUGCAUUAUCAUCAUUCCAAGGUAAUCCGUCAUACUAAUGAAAUAUUUUGAAUGGGGCUUUCCAAAAAUAGCUCAUCUUAUUUCUAUUCCAGUGUCAGAUCUGUGCGUGCAUUCCAGUGUGUGCAUGUGUGUGUGUGCUUUCUUUUCCUUUUUUUUUUUGCAAAAAUGGUCCACUCUUUAAAUCUUCGGGUGCUUUGCCCCUAGCUCCAGUGGAUACACUCCAGCAAUAUGUCUAAGUGGAUGUAAAUGUGCAUGCUUUUUAUAUCCAAAGCAUUAGGUUAAAAGGGAAUGCAUGUAUUCCUAUAUGAAUGCAUAUAUUUGUCUGAGUGUUGGCAUACAAUCACAGGCUGAAGUGACCCAUGGUGUCCAGGGCAAAGGGGUCUGAAAAUUUCAAAACUAGGUCCAUAUCUAAGAAAAGACAGAACAAAAAAAGUUGUCAAAUCUUCAGAGACAAAAAUAAAAUCGGUCAUUUCUGCAAAAUUCAUGCCUUGGAAAUAAUAGGCUGUAUUUAAGUUGCAGAUUUCUCAAAUAAUUUAUAGCUUUGACUUGAGACCUACAAAUAUACAGUGAUAUCUUCUACAAAGAAGCAAACAUAAAGAGAAAUUAAGAAAAAAAUGACCAUAGAGGUCCUGAAUGAGUGAGGUAACAUGACUUUGGUGAAGGAUGAUAUAUUAAAGGAACAAACAAAACAACUCAACUUUUAAAUACAAUCUAUAUCGUAUCUUAGUAACGGAAUUGGGAGCAGUUUCGAAAGCAGGUAAGGUUGCAGGAUGGAAGUUGCAUGUAGAAACUUAGCAGAAGUGCCCAGGAAGCCUUUACUUGGAAUAGUAUAAACAGUUCAAGCAUCUAAUAUUACUUAAAAAAAAAACAGUAUUUUAUCUAACUUGUUUUCUUCUUAUUAUGUGAAUUUGGUAUUUCCAAUUUAGGGGAGAAAGCAUCGAUUUGACUAACAAUGAAAUAAUUCAGGAAAUGAUCUAAGAUUGAUCUAGAUAGUAUAAAGGAAGCAACGGUUUUUUCAUCAGUACAACAGAGGGUCAAAAGUGUCAGGAAGCACAAGCAGGAAAAGAUUCCAAAGCAGGUGUGCUGCAUGUGGUAGAAGAUUAUGGUUAUUAAGAUCCCAUUUCAACAUCUAUAGCCCUUAUGGCUUAAAUCAGCAGAAAAGGCAGCAUUUACUAAGAUAAAUUUAAAAGAAGGCCAGAAAAGUUCAUAGGGAAUUUUGCAGCAUAUUUAAGAGAGGGAAAGGAUAACUAGCACAUUAUCUUUGGGAGGAUAAUACCCUUGAGCGAAAGAUGGUGCAAGUCAAUGAAAUAUCAUCAGCAGUAUUUGGAAAUGAUGGUUCGUAGAACAGCAUAGGAGGAACCAUAAUUGGGGAUGCAAACAGGACAUUUGUAAUGCUUAAUUCUUGUUUGCAGAAGAAAAUAUCAUUGAAAUUCCAACUAAGAUAAUGUUGAACUCUUAUCAAUAUUCUAGCAUUAUAUGUAGAAUUAUUCUCACAAGGAGUAUAUGAUGGGGUGACUUCUGAACCACCGAAUUACGGAAACUAGCUAAAGCAAGAAAACAAUAUAUAUCAAUAAAAAUUACACGCAUGAAUAUUGAGAAAAAAUGAUAUUAUGGUGAAACAUAUUAAAAUUAGAACUUCUAUAGAAUAUGUUGUGUCUUAUUUCAGUUUGAAAUAUUAUUUAUAAAUCAAAUUAUAUAUACAUAAUGUAAAUGGUUAUCAAUGGUUAAGCUCAAAAGAAAGCGAAAGGAAACAUACAAUAUGGUUUAUAAUGAAAUUAUAGAAAAGGACCAUUUUUGUUGAAAUAUACUAAAGGAAUAAUAAUAAGAAGAGCAAUAAUUAUGGAGUAUGCAAACGUGCAGCUAGAAUUCAGAUAAUUAUAGUUAAGGCAGUUUAAAAUGUAUAUAUUAAGGGCCAGGAUAAGAUGAUAUACCUAUUUGAAAAAUUACGAAGAAAACAAGUUGAUUUGAGUAAGUUGUUAAUUCGGUAAGGAUGAAAUAUGAAAAAUGUCAAGAGACUAAAAGAUAAGUCAUAUGGAACCAUUUUUUUGAAAAAAAAAGAGUGCAAAAAUCAUACCAAUUACCAUGCAAUAUAAGCAAAUGGCCAAGCUAUCGGUGAGCAUUGAUGAAUCAAAGAUAAAAGAAAAUAAUGAAAAUCAUUCUGAAAUAGUCAACCAUGGAGACUAGAAUCUUAGGUUCAUUUGUUCCAAGGUAAGCAAGUACUAGACUUAACCCUGAAGUUGCAACUUUCAACCAAAAACUUUUCCCUUUUUUUAAGUUGGUCUAGGAAAAUUUUACAUGCAAAUGCACGUAUUGAAAAUAUAUAUAUAUAUNNNNNNNNNNNNNNNNNNNNAGUAAAUAAUAUAUAUAUAUAUAUAUAUAUAUAUAUAUAUUAUUUUUUUAAUUUUAAUGUACCAUGUCAGAUGUAUAAAAUAUAGCUUUAACUUCAGACUUAUACAAUACUUUUUUUACCAUUUAACAUGAUUUAGUCAUGAUUAAAUUUAAAAUAUUUCAAAUGGAUCUCUAAGAGUCAGUAUCAGUUUUAGAUUAAGUAUAUUAAUAUUAAAUCUAAUGUAACUUGAGUAAACUUGAUGCUCGUAGACCUCCAAAAUAGAAUAUGGGAUGUUCUGUAAACCUAAAUCCAAUUAAAUUUGUAAUUUGACUUGACUUAAGUUUGCAUUAUAGACCAUUUAUGAUUUCUCAUAUGGCUGCUUUUCCACUUUUCUUUCUAUUUUUUGAAGAGUACAUAUCUAGCAAUGUAUAAGGAUUCUAUUGCGUCAAGCUAUUUCCUUUAAAUGUUCUAACAAAUGUUAACUUGAAUUGGAACUAUCAUAUCUAAAUUAACCAAGAACACAGUUUGUUUACUAGUUCUACCAACUUCAACAGGUACAUAACACAAUAUGGUUGUGGGUUACAUCAAAGGAUAUUUGUGAAACAUGUCCAUUACAUCAGAACCAUGUAGCCUUGGAGUAUUCACAAAUUCGCAUGAACUUGCAAACUAAACCAAGUUCAUUAAUAAACUCAUAAAAUCAUAUGAAGUCAUACCAAGUUCAUUAAUAAUAAAAUCAUAUGAAGUCAGACCAUCCAAAGUUGAAAGAAGUCAUGUCAUUCAAAGUUCAAAAGUCAAGACAUUUGUCUACUAAAAAUGCUAAAUUUUAUUAGCAAGCUUUUUAAAAUAGAUACUUUGCACAAUAUUUAUCUAAAUAUUAGUAGUAGAUUAUACCAUCUCAUGCGCAUUGUCACCAUGACCAAUCUCAAUAAAAUUAUACUUGGAAGCAUGGUUCGCUGUAUUGGCCCGAACCAGAUAGUACGGAGUGUACCGUACUGUACUGGUUCGGAACCGAUACUUAGUACGGGAGGCGUAUCGACACUCGAUACAAAAGACCCAAUACCGUACCGACAUAGUGCAGUGUAGCACCAGUACAAGGUUCGGUACUGAGACGGCGAACCUUACUAGAAGCUAUUCUUAGAGAAUAAGGUUAAAUUUUUGUCGUGAUCCAUUAUCAUUGUACCUUAUCAAGAUAUCAAUGAUGCAAGUCUAGGAUAUGGCUAAGUAAAAGGUGGUGGCCUAGAUCCAUGCUGAUCAUGUUGGAGUUAAAGGUGGUGAUUGAAGUGCUCUUUCAUGGUUCUAAUGAAAAUUUUUGGGGAUAACCAUGGGAUCAGAAUAAGAAAGACAAAAGAGGUCAGAUUUGUCUGAAGAUGGACUCCAAUCUAGAUGGAGCAAAGUUUUGUUGCUUGCAAGAGAAAAAACCAUGCAUGUGAUAGUAUUGGUAUUGGGCUUUCUAAUAACUGGUUACUUGAUUGAGAGGAUGAAAGUCCUGGUUUGACUUUUCCAAAGAGAAUGCAAUGAAAAACAUUAUAUCCAGCACCCAUCAUAUGGUGAAAGGAUUAUCAUUUUCCUCAUGCAUUCUUCCUUCUAUCAAACGCCCAAAAACUAUUAACAACCAUUCUAGAACUUUAAUUAAAAGGUUAAGAAAAAGAGAGAAAGUCUUCGAAAAAUCCUAACAUCAAUCUGUGCUGGAUGAUAGAGGGCAAGGAUCAGAAUCUCUGAGUUGGUUUCUCUUCAAAAGAUAAAAGAAAAAAAAUAAAAUGACAGCAUAAUCAUAACUGAACAUGUGGAGAAAAGAUCAUCACCUCCCUUCAGUCUCCCACAUCCCACCAAGACAAAAUAGCCAUCAGACUUAAUCCAAAAAAAAGGAAAACAGCACAGCUUUAGAAAACAAGCAGAAGAGAAAUAUAUCUAAAAGACUAAAACUGUGAAGAAAUCAUGAUCAUGAUGACCAAAUCGGGAGAAAAGCAGAUGAUUGAGAAGAGUUUAGCGUUUGACUGAUGCAGCAGCCAUGAGGAGAUCGUCCACUACUAAUCAGCUAUCUGAUGCAGCGAUAUACAUGGAUAUUUUAAAGUCUUUAUAUGAUUGAGAAACUUAAUGAGAUUUAUUGCUUCUGGAGUACAGAUUUAUGCAGGAUAUAACAAUCUUUAUAUCAUCAAAAACCUUUUGAGAUCCAUAAUACAAAUCUAUGGCGAUUUUAGAGCUUUUAUAUGAUCAGGAAAAUUUCCCGAAUAUCAGAUUGGUAGACAUGAGGGUUUUUUGAAUUCUUUUAUGAAACUUUAGAUGGAUAGGAUUUGUUCUGCUAGACUUAUGGGUCCAGAUCGCUUCUAGACAGAAAUUAUUGACACUUUUAUAGGUAGUAUAGAUAUAGAUAGGGACCAAGGUGGCAACUUGGACUUUCCAAAUCCCUCUAAUUACCAUCUUAUUUUUGGCUUAGGGGUAGCAGACUUCAAGCUUUAAUGACUGGGAGAAAAUAAAAAUAAGGGGUUUGUGGUGGUGAAAUGGAUAGUGGACACUGACAAAAGGAUCGGAUUAAGACAUGUAUCCGAGCAUCUGAUGUAAGAAGAAGAAAAAGAAGGGACAUAUAGAGAUUUUAUUUGUUAAGGUCACCCAAGCCCCGCAAUUAGGUUAAGGAUAUAAGACAAAUAACAUUCUGUAUACUUACUUUAAUACCUACAUUCUUGGUUAAUUUCUAAAAAGAAUAAAACUUGCCCCUAACACCAUUAUGGUAGAUCAAACUCACUGUUGAGAGUCUUACUCUUUACCAAACUUUUAAAGAUAUAACCAAAGAAUUUGAUAAGUAUUCAAGUGUCACAACAUGUAUUUAUUUCAGAUAUGUGUUUAACAUGAAUUCUUGGAGCUAGAUGCAAAUGUCCAUGUAACACAGGAAGUCCCAAUUAUCUAGACUUGACCAACAUACCUCAUCCAACUUGAUCAUGAAACCUAACCUUAUUGGAUUAGAUCUGGCUUGCUCCAAACUUCAUCAAGUCUUACCCAACUUAACCCAACUCAGUCAAAAAUUGGGAUCAAACCAAGCAAACCAAACCUGACUCAAUAAGACUCUACCUGACCAUAGUCAAGAAGAUUUCACUUUCACUACGUUCAAGCAAACACAGAGUCCAUUGGAACUACAACUUGUUUGCAUCAAAUUGCAUUUGAAUAAAUACUAGUAAGUAGUAACAAAUUCCCCGAACUUCAGUUCUACUACUUUUGGGAGUUAUGUCCAUACAAAUAGGCCUUCAGAUAAUUGACAUGCUUUUGAGAGAGGAUACUUGUCUAAUGCCUAUACUUAACGAUGUGUGAAAGAAAGCACGUCAUAGGAGGCACCAAAAGAAACACUACCUUACGCUUUAACUUUGUGGACAUAAAAAAUGUCUAUCAAAAGGGCUUCUUGACAGCUUUAGAGUGAGAAAAUAUAGGAAUAUAUGGGCAAGACAAAUUUUCAAUCAUGGUGACCAAGGGGUUGCUCUUAAGCUUUCAUCAUAUGACAGCAUACAAAAAUGGACAAAACAGCCAAUAUAAUUUGGCUUCAUUGGAUGAAAUAGAGGAUUGCCCCAGGGUUUUAUCUAAACACUGCACACCUUUAAGAAUGAAUACAACCCAUGUCUAUAGCAAGAAGAACUAUAGUUUUUGUGGAUCAACAUAAUUGGAAAUAUAGGUAAACACAUGUUUGAUGUGCAUCAUAAAGUAGUAAAUUAGGAUUUUAUAAUAAAGGAAAAUAGGAGUUCCACCAACUGAAACUAAAACAAAUAAAUGACAGAGACUGCAAACUGAGAUGAUAUAGAUAUAUUAUUCAACAAAGAAAAAAGUUUCACUACACUCCAUUUGCCGCUCAAAGCACUAAUUCUAGGUGGAAGUUGCUGAUUGACCGUUACACAAGGCCCUGACUGACACACAAGUACCCCCUCGACAGCACACCAAUCCCUGAUUGCUAUAGAGGAUUGGUGCUUUGAGCAGGGAAUGGAGUGGUGUGGGGUUGCACUACUCUUCCAUAGUAUUAUACACAGGCAAGGAUAAUGAUGUUUGAAAUUGAAACAAUUAAGGAUGUUUAGUUAAAAGAACAGACAUUUGUUGUAAUUGGUCAAAGAUUACCCCAAUCACAGAAGAAAAGAGAGAGGCAAACAUACAAUUAUUUAAAACCAAGGCACAGUGGAUAACAUGGAGGAGAACUUUUGGGGUGUCAUAAAAUCUUGUACUUAAGACAUCAAGAGAACUUUUUAUGACAAUAACAUUUAGUUUGGAUUAGAAUAUUGAGCAAUAGACAGGGCAAAGACACAAGCAUCAUGCAGAUGAGAAUAAGAGGUGGAUAAGCUCAUCAAGAAGUUUAGAAAUGAUUGCAUUAAAAGAAAUGCAUGUGCUGUAGCACUAAAGAUAAAGUUAUGGAGAAUUAAAUGUUGUGGUAUAUUCAACAAAAAUAUGAGUAAGAAGGGGGCUCAGGUUAAUGUUAAAAAGUCAUGGACGAGAAGAGGAAGGCUGCAAUUGCCUGGAUGAAAUUGUGAGAAUGAGUUAGAAAAAAUCUUAAGCUCACAAGGAGAGUAGUACUUUACAACUAAAUUUUUGACAUGGAUUUGCAUGGAAAAGUUUAGUGAAAAAGAAAAAUAGCUUGCUGCUAUAUGUAUAUGGAUGCACAUUGACAUAAUUUAUAUAUUUGUAUGAUACAUGUCCUUGUCUAACUGCCAACCAAGAUUUAUAUCCUGCACCUUGAUAGAAUAGGUGCUACAAUCUUAAAUAAACAAUAAGAAUGAACUGCACCCUACACAAGAGCAACAUCCAUCUGUUUCACACUGAAUCCCUGAUCACAAUUCAAAUUGAAAACCUUACCUUCUGACUAGCUAUAGAUAUACUCCAAAAGUUAUCUAAACAUGUGUAAAAACACAAGGUAGUUGACUUUAAUUGACUUUAAUCAAACAAGGAUACAGAAACAGAGGACUCAUGGUUCAGUUUUCCUAUCAUUACACUUCUCCACAACUGAAAUUAAAUACUAGCAUAUCCUCAACCAUCCCCCAAUUGACAUGGAACCCACAAUUAUUACUGAUCAAAUAAGAAGCUUCAGAUUAUCUGCGAAAGGGUUUUCACCAAAGAAAUGUUUUGUGAAAGUUUGAGGUGAUAUUGAUCCUGGUGUGUCCAAUGGGCUGGGUGGGAAGAUUAAGGUAAUGCCAUUAUUUGAAAAGGGUAGCAAAAGAACAUGGGCCAGACAAUAGGUGGAUCCAAGGCCAAUUGACAUUACUGUCACCAUUGUAGCAUUGAUUCCUGCUGUGAAGUACUGAGGAAAAUCAUUUUGUAGAUAACGACUGGCGGAGGCAUCAUUUCAGAGAGCAAUUAAAAUCAAAAUACCAAGCCGAAUGCUAGUAUUCGGAUAGCUAUUUAACAACACAUCAAACACAUGGAUCCAGGGAGGAGGGUUAGCGCAUGUCUAUACUUGGGACUUAGGAGUAAAAGGGUUACGGAAAUAUACGGUCUUUGACUUGUGAAAGUUUGAAAAAAGGAUAAUCCAAAAUAUUCUCCAUGUUUCCAACAAAAUUUAACUGGAGGGUGCUUUCACAAAAUAAUCAAAUUUCUUAGGGGUACUUAAACUAUAGAUGAAAGAAGACUUUCUUCUUAAUAAUGAGAUUAAUAAAGUUUUGUUUUUUAAGAAAAUAGUUAGUGCUGUAUAUGUAGAAAGAACACAAAAUAAAUGCAGAAAGUAAAUUACUAAUUUAUACAAAACAUGUAUAAGCUCAUCUAGCUACCUUUUUCAAACAAGUCUUACCUCCAUUUAAUUCCAUCAGAGUUUGUUUAAAUUUUUGAUAUAGCUUGUAGAAGAGAAUAUUUAACCAAAAAAAACACUUAAUGCAUGUACUGGAGUUAACCAAAAUUUUCAUAUUAGUUAAAUUUCCAUUAGUUAUGCUUAGUUUACUGGAACAUGAGAGUACAUAAUCUCAUUAUGAGGCCAAAUUCAGGAGGGGAAACAAGAAGAGAAUGCAACAUUUUCUAAAUUGAAUUUUUGGAAGUGCAGAUAGAAAGAACUAAGGAGAUGGCAAACGAAUUGAGACAUUACCUCUUUCACCCAGUAAUGGUAUGUGUCUCUUAUGUUUGUCUUCCUCCAUGCAUUUAAGUCAAAUAUAUUCAUCCCAUAUGCCCAUGCACACUCAUGAGGGUCCAAAUUAUUGGCUACGAGAGGAUGGGAGAAAUUAAAAUAUGUCUUGAAGCGCUUAGACAUCACCCAUCUAUCUUCACCUUUGCAAGUUUCUACAGCCCCAUUUACCAUUCCAGAAAGAUCAAUCUCCCACAAUGGCGAUAAAUCACGCUGAAUAACAACAUCAUCAUCCAGAAAUACCACCUUAUUGAGGUUUGGGAAAAGCUGUUUGCACAUAUGACAAAGCUCUUGUUAUCACCAUGUGACAUUUCAAUGACUCAAAGUUUAAGAAACAAAGUCUUCUAAGCAAAAUAAAUGUGUGAUUUAGAGACACAACUCAGAUAUUAUACAAUAUUUCGGAUUCUUCAAUUUUAAAUCCACAAAAUUUAUUAAUCCAGCCAGAUUGCAUGGUGAGUUAGACAAACAAAUUUUCUAAAUUUUGCUUCCUGAGUAAAAUUUUUGUCAUGUUAACCUAAAUAGAAAAUGACUUAUUGAAUGAAAGAUAUGAACCCAUAUUCUGUAUCUGUUUACCAUUUCCCAUAAUAAUCUUCCUCUUUCUUUUCUCAACCGGUUCUCCCCACACUUAUUUUUAGCUUAUUCCAAUUCUUUCUUCUAUUUACCAUUCAGAUUAAAAAUGUAUCUGGUCUAAGCAUCUCUAUUCAUUACAAUUUGAUUAUAAUUUAUAUUAAAUGCAUUUCUUCAGCAUCUUUUGAACUUAAAAUUUCAAAUUGUUAUCCAAACUUGAAUCUGGUCGGCAUCACAGCAAAAAGAGACUAGCAAUGUAUGUUGACCCAUUUACCUCAGGCAGGUAUAUGCGGAGAUGAUUGAGCAGGGAAAUGUACUUUGGACUCCUGGCCUGCAGCUUUGAAGCAAAAAACCUUGGGUUUUCACUUGCAUUGCUAGCCAUCAUGUGAUUUCCAUGAUAGUGAUUUCUGACACCUUGGUGAUUUUCUAUAGCCUCAAGAACUGGUACAUUCUCUUUUGUCAACCAAUCAAAUUGGUGAACACCUUUCACCUCAACAAUGGCAGGGGACACAGGAUUCAAAGCAAACCAUGAAUGCAUACCUGGAUAAGUCUUCUUGUCAGUGAUGACAUGGAAGACUACCUUUUCAGGUUUUAAAGAAGAUCUCACAGCUGAGGUGACCACAACAGAGGCUGCAAGAAUGUUAUCAGUAGCUACAAUGAAAUGGUAGUAAGAGUUAUCUGAGAGCAAAGGUAGCAACUCAGGAGGUGGUAAUUGUUUCCGGGCAUGAGCAUUGGAUGAAUACUCAUCAGUCAAGCGCAAGGAGAGACAAUGAAGGCCUUUCGGAAUAGCAGUUGCUGCAAAAUGUUUGUGCAACUGUUCUGCCAGCCUUGAUCUUUUUACCUCCUUAUCCAUAGUUUCCAUCUGCAUGAAUCAGAAAAAACAAUGGUUCUUAGAAGAUUCACUAAAAUAAAUUGAGCAUAAUAGGAUACACCAAAUACAUAAUAAUCAAACGUAAGAGUUUUAUUAACUAAUAUCACAUACAAAAUGGAGCGAUAUGAUCCAGAUUCCAGACCUAAUUAUUAGGGCCGCAAAUAAAAGGGCUACACACUAAAAUAUACAUAUGUAUGUACAUAAUGUACAUACUUAAAUAGAAGCUUAACAAUUUUAGACUAGCAAUAUAUCAAGCUAAAUAUGAAAUAAGUCACUUUCAAUGAAUAGUUACUAGCUUUGGUUUUAUGCUGCUACAGUAUUGUCAUAUCAGUUCCUAUAGUAACUAUUAACUAGACCGGUACCAGGACUCGUACCGGUCGGCGGGCAGUACAGUAUGAUAUAGAUCUAUACCAUGCCGUUUUGGAGCAUUUCGGACUCUUUUUUUUAUUAUUUUCAAAUUUUGAACUGAAGUCAGCAAACUAAUUGUUGCAUUCUUUAAAGGAAAGUAAGCAUAUGGUUUGCUGAUUUCAAUUCAAAAUUCAAAAAUUAAAACAAAAAGUGGGAAAUAGAGGACCACGAUUGCGAUCCUUUGCUUCAUUCCCUUUCUCUCCUAUUUUAAAACAAAGACGGCAGGGACCGGUAUGGAACGAAGACGAUGGUGUCGAGGAGACUGCACAAGAAAGAGGGAGAAGGAGGAGGAAGAGAGAGACGGAGGGCGGGGGAGAUAGAGAGAGAGAGAGUGAGAGAGGGGAGAGGGAGGGAGGGAGGGAGGAGAGGAGAGGGAGGGAGGGAGGGAGAGAUGGGAGGGCUUACUUAGGAGUGGUCCAUNNNNNNNNNNNNNNNNNNNNGAGGGAGGGAGAGAUGGAGGGCUUACUUAGGAGUGGUCCAUGUUGGUGUCGGUCGGCCAGGGAAAGAUGUGGUGAACCGUCUUAGUUAAGGACCGGUUCGGUUCAAUAUACCCCAAACCGUCCGGUUCGAGAUGGUUCAGCGAACCAUGGUAACUAUUAUCAAUACUUUGCUAUAGUAGUUCUUGACAUAUAUCUUAUAAAUUUUUUAGGGACUUGAUUAUAAAGAGAUUACUAGCACACAAGAUUUCUUGUAAACAUAAGCAAGCUUGCCCGGUAAUCUCUUAGAAGAUUCUACCACCACCACUACAUACAUACAUACAUACAUACAUAUGUAUGUAUGUACGUAUGUAUGUACGUAUGUAUGUACGUAUGUAUGUAUGCAAGAACGAAUGAAUGAAAUAUAUAUUACAACAAACUAUUCAUAUUUCAAGACUUAGGCAUGAUUGAGUCGAUUUUGUUUUUGGCUACGCUUGAAAUUAAUUUCAAGCCCAUGAAAUAGGUUUAGGCUUGGCUCAAUUUAACUCAAACUGAGCUUGAUUUCAGGUCAUUUCAGGCCAAACUUGGGCUGCUUAGAUCAACUAAUGGCCCCAGAAAUGGAGGAGUAACAUAUGCUAAAGUAGGAUCACCCUCCUGCCAUCCUUUAAAAAAGUAAAAAUAAAACAAAUGCCAAGAUUUUGAAAAAAAAUGGAACAAUUUCUGCUAAAGUUGCUCCACAUAGUAGUAAACAGAGCAACAAUUUUUUCUACCAAAUAUUUUCAACUUGCGGUUGCAGCAAAAUGGAGAAUCUGAGAUGCCAAGGAGAUAGUACAAUGUUUGUACAGAUAACAAAAUAACUUAUGUAGAAGUGUUCAUUCCUAGUAGUUUUAGAACACAAUGCACCAAUAAAAAACAUAAACAAAUACAAUCAAUUGCAUACCGUCGCUUUCAACCUUAUAGCAAAUGACUUGGCAUCAUACUGGUUAUUCUUCAUUUCAGAAAGAAACUCACUGAAAGAUUCUGGCAACUUCAAGCCAACUGGAAUCUCCUCAGAAUUUACUUGAUCAAGAAUCUUGUAUAAAUCUCUCAUAAGCCUCUGCACAAGUAUAGUCAAGUGAUCCAAAAUAAGAUAGCAAAUUUUACCAGGACACAACCUUCCGUUUAUCACAAACCUAAACACUGAAAAACAGAUAAUUACCACUGAAUCACCACCGCCCCUAACAAGAAACCUUGGACCUAACCGUCUUCCCAAACAAUCUGGAGGAGAAAAAAUGAAUGUAUUAAAAAGAAAUGGAUAUGACUCACCCAGCUAGUAUAUAUUACACAAAAGCAAGCCUCAUGGUUUGCCAAAACAAGUAGGCAAGCAGAUCUAUUCAUAUAAACAGAAUAAACAGUCUUAAAGAUGAUUGUGCAUGAACACCUGAACCAUUCUGAAGGUAGAUUUUAUUUCCAUCCCACUAAAGCAAAAUAGAAGGGAGGUCCUUAAUGCCAGUUGAAAGAGAGUUUCUCUACAGACUAUUUGAAUUGGAAUACGCAUAUACAUUUACAUACACACACAUAUACAUAUACACACAUGCAUAAAUAUGCUUAACUAAGAUAUUACAGAUGGAAGAACCAAUCGCCUUUCUAUAAACCUUGUUGAGACUAUUCUUUGUGCAGAAGACUGAUUCAGCAUUUUCUGAAAUAUGGUAAAUACGGUUGGUACACGAUAUGAAUAUCCAAUAAUUAGAAUGUCAGGCUCAAACAACUAGCUAAAAAUUGGCUGCCUAAUCAAAGUUCAAUGCCCUAAAAUGCAGCAAAGUUUGACUUAAACAAAUAUUAGAUGAAACAUUCUGUAUAUGGAAAAACACAUAAGUGAAACAUGACAACCUAAUGUUGCUGGGAAAGUGACAACGAAAGAAACCAUCCAAAUAAAUUGGACUAAUAGUGAAGCUGGAAUAAAAGGAUAAUACUUAAAUACUAAUGAAAAGAAGAGAUAAUAGUGGGAGAUAAGUAUCCAAAUAGGAAAAGCAAUUUCACAUCGCAAGGGAAUAGGAGAAGUGUAGGAUAUAUAUCCAUACCAGACAGCUAAACAUCAACGUAAAAUCCAUAUCAAAUGGCAGACAGCUCAGUGUCUACUGGAAACAAGAAAAGCAUCAAAUCAACCUUAAAAGUUCAUGAGUAACACUAUUGCAAUAGUUCCAAAAGAGGACCAAGAAAGAUGAAGCCAAGAGACCAGCUCAAUUAAUACAGAUGGGAAGGGAAGUGGGAUACACAACAAACAACAUCAGAAAAAACACCACAAUCCCAAAACCCGAUAUGCUAGCAGGAUUUUUAUUCACCCCAAUUCCAAAAGCAUCUCGACACAGCAAAUGCAAGCACCAUAAUAAAAUAAAAUAAAAUAAAAUAGAGUAUUGAGACUGCUUCAAGCACCAAGAAUGAAAAAACAUCAAUAAAUCGCAGGUCAAACUAAACCAGGCUAUUCAGAUUCCAGAUCAAUCAAACAAAAUACACAAAUUUAAGCUCAUCGCAGCAAUCUAAACCCAACCAAGAUACAUUGUGAAACCAAAUUAACCCAAUACCAUGUAUAAGAAGCCAGGACAACUAAGACUAGAAAAUUACCAAGACCCAGAUCGAGAGCCAAGGACUCAAUAACACAAAAAAAUAAUAACUUGGCAACCAAGUAGCAGUUCAGAUUCAAAAAUCAACCAAAAUUCUACCACAAAAGGAACAAAUCAUCUGCCAAUUCAAAGACUGAGAUGCAUGAAUAUAUGAAGUAUAAAACCUCAAUAAUUCAAAGCCGAAUAUAUAUUAAAUCAUGGCGAGGCCUCGGGCGACCAAUUAAAGAAGAACUCGAAGAGCUUACUGAAGGAGGAGCACUUGUUGACGCCCUCGAGCGUGACGACGGCUGUGAGGAUGAAGACGAAGGGGAGGAGGAAGGCGAGGAUGAGGAUGGUGUGGAAGAGGGUCCGGUAGGAGAUGUGGCGAGCUGCGACCUUGACCUUCAUCAAGUCGAGGAACCCAUUGCUGCUCGAUAUCGUGAUGCUUCUCAUGCUCGGCGAGAACCGUAUCUGCAUCGUAGCAGCCGACGCCGCCACGCCCUCCGCCGCCUCCGCCCUUCUUCGCCGCCCGUCGUCGUCGUCGUCGCCGCGACGUCGCCGGCGGUUCUAACCGCUGCCCAUGCAAGAAAAUCGCCGGGGCGGGCGGCCUUGAGAUCGAGGGGAGGAGGGGGAGAGCGACCGCCGGAGGGAGCCAAGAUUGGAUUUUUCCGGCGUCGCCGGAUCCGGCAUUGGAUUCUAUAAUAAGAAAUAUAGGAAUUUUUCGGGAGAAAGGGCAAAAAAAAAAAAUUAAGAACGAUUGGUUUUGCUUUUCUUCGGGUGGAUUUUUUUUUCCUUUUCUUGUCCCGAGAUCUUGCUUAGGAAAGAAAAAAGGAAUGAGUCAAAAGGAAAUUGGAUGACACAUAAUUGCAAGAUUUCAUGGAUUUUUCUUCUGUGUUUUCUUGCAGAAGUCAAAAGACUCAAAACCGCGUAUAAGGAGAGGAGCGGAGGGCGAUAGAGAGAAAGAGAGAGGAAGGAGAAACGAAGUGGGGGGGGCGCGGGGCAAGGGCCUAAAAUUAGGGAAGGUGAUGCGGAGUAUAAUUAAUUGAAGGGAAUUGAAGGUUUGACCUGAGGAUAAUUCUAGGGACAAGCAAGACGAUCCCAGAGAAGGAAUAAGGGAUGGCCAAGCUUAUAGGGGUCCAACCCAUUUGGAAGAUAUAGAGAGGGAUAGGAUUUUGAUGCAAUUGUUUAAGUUUGGCUUAAAGAUCAAAUGGGAGUGUAGUUUGGGGACCCUUUUCUCUUUGGCUGUGGGCAGCUAGAUUGGGUUAGAGUCCAGCUAUUGCUGAUACAUUGCAAAAUGGAAGUUUGUAUGCAUUUCUAGCUUUAAGAGCUGUCCAAAUGUUGCAAUGUCAACCUCCUAUAAUUGAGAUUUGGUUGAGCUGCAGUGGUUGAGGACAAAAUACAGCCAUUGCUUGAUGUGAUUCUAAAUUUUAUGCAAGGAUUUCUAUAAUUUAGUGACCAAUGGGCUGAGGUUGACUCGUAAGGCAAUACUAACCUUAAACCUCAAUAAUGCAAACUAUAUUCUUAAUUAAUAUAGUAAUAAAUUUAUAUAGACAAUCCAAAACUCUAAUAAAACUUUGUAUAAAGACAAAAUAAUGAAGUCGACAUAAAAUUCUAAUUUUACACUCCAUGAAAUUUUGGUACUAAAGUCCAUAUAACAAUAAAAUUCUCUUAUUUUCAAAUAAAAUAAAAUUUUCUAAUUUAUAUAUUUUUAGAAGUGCGUCUAGAUUUUUUGUUAGACAGUCCUCCAUCAAAUACAAAUUGUAUACAAAAAAAAAAGAGUAAUUUGAACCUCUUUUGUCAAAGAUGCUUCUACAUAGUAUACGAUAUUCUUUUAACCAUUUGAAGCAAUUUUCGUCGCACCAUGUAUUACAUCAAAUUCCCAAAAAAUACUUUUGCUCUAUUUUCAACCAAUUCGAUCGCAUCAGGUGGUUCCUUGUGAAAACUCUAAUCAAGAAAAGAUCAUGUAGGAUAAUCCAUCCUAGUUUGAAAAAAAAAACUGGAAGGAAGAAAGAAAGAAAAGAUGACCAUGAUAGGUCAUUCAAUAAAAAUGGCAGAAAAAUUAAAGCUUAUGAGAAGAGUUAAAAUAAAUAUUCUGAAUGAAGUGGGUUUGACAUAAAAAGUCUAUUUAAUUAGCUAAGGAUUAUAAAGAAUGAUUAAUCAACCGUCGACAAUGGUAGAAAGAGGAUUAUAAAAAAAAACAUCAUGCAAGACUCUAUAAUGUAUAUACUCAUAGAACUUCGCUUUCUUUUUUCGGAGGGCAGGACUCAUGCAAUUAUGCAUGCCAUGGACAGGGAAUGCAAGAAAGACUCCAUGCAGGCUUCUGCAUUUAAGAUUUGUACAUACUCCACGCAUACACAAGAGCUCAGCCUGAUUUUUGCAUUUGCAGGGUAGCUACACAUUUUCUUCCGUAGGCCUUUACUUAAUGGUUGCUUAUUAAGUGCCACUCAUGCCUACUGCAACAACCCAAAAUAUCUAGCCGCAAGGUAUUCUUUGGGUUCCUUAAUUCUGUAUAAGUACUCAAGAUCUACCUAGCAAAUAACCGAUAUGAGACUAAACACACGCCCGUACGGGUCCUCACAUACUCCCCCCGUUUAAGCUCUAACGUCCUCGUUAGGCUAAGGGUUCAAAUCCAUUCAAAUCGAAUCACAAACACCACGAUCGGCCCGUGGUCAGCUCCAAUGGAUUCGUGCUGCAGUGUCCCAUAGUCCACAUAGACUAUGGGCUGGGUCGGGUCUGAUACCAUUUGUAACAAUCCAGGACCUCAUCCAAAAUGGCUAGCCAGAAGAUAUUAUUUGGGUUCCUUGAUUCUGUAUAAGUACUCAAGAUCUACCCAACAAAUAACCGAUGUGGGACCAAACACAUGCCCGUACGGAUCUUCACACCUACUGAACAAGAAAACCAUGUUUGGUCUAGGAUUGGUUGAAUGGUGUGCAGGAUUAAUGGAUGCACAUGCUCUGUCUGAACUUUUUUCUUUUUUCUGCUGACCAUGCAUUGUUAAAACAAGAUCUGGCCACAAGUAUGGGUUGGGCACAUGCCUUGCACUCCUUAAUUAAGGGGCUCCAAAUGUUGCUGGUGGUGAAUAUUUGUUUUAUUUAUUUGAUCCUCUUGGAUGUUUCAUUAGUCCCAUGGAAAGGCUUUCUGCUUGGUUUAUGUUCUUUUGCAUGCUGAAGUGGUUCUGUCCAAGCUGGGACCCUAAUCUUUUGUUACGCCAGAUCUGCUGCGUUUCGUUGCCGCCUAAGAAUCUAAGAGAGAUUGAUAUGUUGGCGGUUACUAGAAUUCUAUUCAACUUCUAAAACUAAUAUGGAUAUGAUUGAAGAUAUAGCUUAGGUAGAGAAAAGAGGUGAGCAAAAAUUAUGUAUCAGUAACCAUGACCAAUAUUACUCUCAAAUACUAGCAUAAUGGCAUUUGCCUUUUUGUCAGAAUUUCAUGAAAUGUGCUGUAUUUUAGAUCAUUUAUAUUUAGAUACAAGCCAUUUCAAGUUUCCCUUGUUAUUUUCAUUUAAGCAUUCAUCUUAAUUCUAAUCUCAUCAUUGAAGACCUUAUCAAUUAAAUACUUACCAGAGCAACCUUUCUUUCCUUUUUUCUUUCUUUUCUUUUUUUUAAGAGAGAGCACCAAUGCACCUAGUUAGCAGGCUUAUAAUUGAUGACAGAUUUAAGGUUAGAGGUGACCUUGGAGUAAGCCCACUGCAGUGGACACUUACCAUGGGUAAAUCCUGAGUGAAAUCUGAGCCUUGAUGCAAAAAAGUUAUGGAGAACAUUGUAUACAGCAUUAAUAGUUUAGGGACAAGGUCCGGUCAUGUCCUUGCUAUCCUGAACCAGGCAAUGUGGCUCAGUACCAAAGCAUCCAACUGAUUGAAAAGAUGUACUUCAAUACCACUGGUUGGUCUGGUGGAGGGACCCUUUCCUGUCUGCUUCAUUGACUAGCACCUCACACAGAGGCUACAAGAUCAGAUGUCCACACUUCAGUUGGAUAUAUUGUCAGGAUAUUUCUUCUUGAUGAGAACCCAAUGCUAGGUUGCAGUUAUUUUUUCCUUCAUGGUUUUAGCAGUUGAUAUCAUUGCUUCUGCCUUUAGCUAGCCUAUGCAGGGAUGGUGAUGGAAAGAAGGAACCAAGGAUAGGUGGAAAGUAGAGGCAAAGCUCUGCCAUACACAUUGAGGGAAAAAUAACUAGUAACAUCUGGAGAGGCUACUGUUUUAGUUGGCCAUUCAUAAGAUUGCAUGGUAUAAAGCUUCUCAAUCCAUCAGUGGAAGCUCAGCAGAUGACAAUGGAUAGCCACUUUGAUCACAUAGAGCCAUUCUUUCACAGCUUAAAAGGAGAUUGGAGCCACUUUUAAUGCCUUCUUUAGCUUUCAAAACAAUAGCAUCCCUUCCAUUACUCAGUCAAGUAAACAUAGCUACAGCUAUUGGAAAUGAGAAAAGCAUGGCAGUAGACUGUGGAGUGUGAAGGAACUCAGUCAAGUAACAACCAACUGCAAGUAAGAAGGAACUCAGAGGUUUCUUCAUAUACUCAUCCCAAUUUCACUUUACCUCCUAUAUGUGAAAUGCUAGAUUCUCUGACUUAUUAAAAGGUUUGGCAUUUCCAUCCAUGAGGAAACUCAACUAGUCAAUACUCAGACAUACAUUAAAUCAAGUAGAAACAUUAAGCAUGGUUAGUAAUAUAGUAUUUUAUUCUUUUUCAUAUAAGCCAUAGGUAAAUGUUUCAUGAAUGUUUCAAAAGAACAAAUUUGUUCAGCAUGCAGACCUGUUCAACUUCAAGAUUAUCUCAAGAAACAUCAAGCUGCUCAAGAGGCAAAAACAUUAACAUGGCUCAUACAUAGAAAUAAUCCAAAAGUACACAAAAUAUUAUAGCUUGAAUAUCAACAUAAAUGUCUUCAUUUAUAUAUAUAUAUUUUUUGUUCUUUUGCUGUAAAAAUACCUUGGUAUCUUCUAAAUAAGAAAUUUAACAAAUAGAAAAUAUUUGAAUUUUGUGUUUGAUUAAUAUUUACUCGAUUGGGACCUCAAUUAUUCAUCAUCUAUAAUUACAUACUUCUAUAUAUUUAACAUGGCUAAGGAAAAAGGUAUAUAAAUUAUACAAGCAACUUAUAUCAAACAUAAAUAUUAAAUUAAAAAUAGAAAUAUAAAUUAUUUAUUAAUUUAUAGGUCAGGUAACACCAUGUUCAAGGUCAGACCUAAUCCUUAAUCUGGGCCAAGGUGUAUUCCUAGCCUAAUACAAUUGUGUUCCCAGCGAUCGCAGUUUUCGCACCCAAUGUGAGUCGCAGGCAUUUGUGGCUGCAUUCAUUUUGGACGCCCCGCACAGCCUGCCGCAUCGAGAAAAGAGGCAUUUCCUGCCGUCGGAUCACGAGGAGGGCAACGUGUCAAGCAAAAGUGGCAUCCGCGAGCGCAGCAGGCUGCGAGACGGGCCGCGCCCUUCUAUGAAAGGUCUGGAAAUUUCCCGGCGAAGGCUGGAUUUAUCGAGUUCCAAUCUCCACCCCACCCUUCCUUUCUCUCGCUCGCGCUCUGUAAUGGCAAGCGCGGCAUCGGCUCCUUCGAGAGCCGAGGUGCUCUCCUUGUUCCGCUCCCUCCUCCGAACGGCUGCCAAGUUCACCGACUACAACGUGAGAGAGUACGCCAAGAGGAGAACGAUCGAUGGAUUCCGAGAGAACCGGGGGCUCUCAGAUCCUUCCUCGAUUGCUUCGGCCUUCGCUGACGGGAGGAACCAGCUUGAGGUGGCGAUGAGGCAGGUGGUGGUGUACUCUCUCUACGCUCCAAAGGUCAAGAGCGUGAUGGAGAUCGGGAGCGGAUGAGGUUAUCUGACCGAAAGGUAUAAACUUUCUAUGUAGGGUUUUGUAGGGUUUAGUGAUUCCGUUCGUAAAAAUGGGAAAUUUUUUAUUUUUAAUUGCGAUUUGUGAUAAUUCGUGGGCGGAUUUUUCUAUCUUUUUUGGAAAAAAAUGGCGAUAAUAAAUAGAUAAAAUUAUUCUCUGUAUUGAUGUUAUGAUAAUGGAUUGAGUGAUAUCUAGUUGAUGGAAUCGUGAAGUUUAUCUGAGUAAUAUUGCUACUCUAUGAUAUUGCAUUGUUAUAUGCUGAAUUUUAAAAAGUUCCCACUUUGGAAAAUUUUAUGAAGUUUUUUAGAGUUUAUGUACUUGUCAAAUAAUUGACAUUACUAAAUUUUGGUAGAUUUUGUGUAUUGAGGAUUAGAUGGUGACUUUUUAAUAUCAUGGUUGAAGAAGUUGGGGGAUAUGCGACUUAUAAGGCCACGAAUUUUUGUCUUGUAUGUGUCAAAAUGCUGGUCUUGAUGUUGAUAUGAAUAACUGUGUCAUCUCAUGCCAGGAAAAUUAGUACAGAAUUAUAUGUCAGUAGAUCCCAUGCUCAAGAGGUUCUGAACUGCUUGCAAAAAUCUCACAAUAUACAGAUAUGACUUAAACUUCAUCUGGUAAUGGUGUCUAUGAAAUUAGCUACAUAACUUUUAUGUAUCAUAUCUUCUAUAGAUGUUAAUCAUCUCAACUUUAUGAAUUCUAUUUCUUUAACUUUUGUUCUUGUUGUUCUAAAAUCUUGUGGUCCUUCUCUUUAAGCUGAUACAUAGGGUUGCAGGAUGACCAUGAAGAAAGUUCCUUGCUCAUGUAAUUACAGCUUUACUGCUUUUCCUACGUAUCCAGCACCAAAACCUAAUACGUGUCAAAAGGGUUAUGAAUUUGCGUUGGUACUUCCCUUAAUUUAUUAUCAUGAAUCCAUCUCCCCAUUAGUUUUUGAAAUAUAAAUCCAUAAAAUUCUAUCAUUAAUCAUCCCAUAUCUUUCCCCCACCCAACAACUGACUUGACAUUCUAUUAAUAGGAGGAUAUUUUAAUCUCUAGAAGAUAUACCUAGUGCUAGGUAUGACAACUGUCUCAAUCUCAUCGUAUUUUUCCUUUAAAAGUUUGUACAAGGUGGCACCUAGUGGAUGUUUUUGUCCUGCAUGUUAUACCUUGUUGAAAAAUUACAAUCGAUUGGAAGUUAUAAGAUCAUGAUUCUAGGUUCAAUCAACUUGAGAAAAAGCUAGAUGACUGCAUAGAGGGAAUUGCAUAUAAUGUAGAUCUUAUCAAAGGGAAGGGGCAACAGAAAAACCAAAGUAAAAGAUGUAGAUCAGUAAUUCCUAAUGUUUCAGGUGAGAUUCAAUUAUGUGAUUUUGAUCAAGAAAAUCCAAUUCUUACAAAGAUCAAUGACAAAAAUGAAGACCACAAAGAUGAAAAUCAGUGGUCUAGAAAUCUCCCUAUUGAAGAUCGGCUUGUUCAAAAGAUGAUCUGCAACAGAAGCAGCAGACAAUAUCAGACUGGAGGAGGACCAGCAUAUUCAAAACAAUUGUUACUGGCCAAGGAAAAUUGGAUGAUCUUAUCAUUGGUAGUGGCGGCAUAGUAAAUGUAGUCUCUUCUGAAUUUGCGGAGAUGUUGAAUUUGAAAACAAAUCUAAAAGAGCAUCUAUAUCAGCUAGCAUGGCUGAACAAACAUGAGCGAGUUGUUGUGAAGCAUCAAUGUAUGGUAAGAUUUUCAUUGCGGCAUGAUUAUAAUGAUGAGGUUCUAUGUGAUGUUGUUCCAAUGUCUAUAGCCAUAUUUUGCUAGGCCGUCCCUGGUUGUAUAAUAGGAAGGUCCAACAUGACGCUUAGAACAAUGCUUAGUCCUUCAUAGAGAACAACAAACAACUGAUCAUGCUUCUAAAGAAGCCUGAAACAAUGCUAAUAAAGCAAAGGAGUUUAGGACUUGCAUGAAGGACGGUGCUGGGCGAAGGUGAUGGAUUGUUGGGACUGUAUCCUAAAUAGGAACCAAUUCAACCACCUAUUUAAGCUUGAGGACAAGCCCACAUGCAGCAGAAGCAAAUUGGUGCAGCCAAAGAACAGCAGAGUAUACCCAUCUGGCCAGUCCUUGCUGGUCAACAAAUCAUUUUAAAUAGUCUUGUUUGGGUUCUUUCAAGACCAUCAGCUUAUUUUGUUAUAGUAUUUUCUGAUUGCAUGAGGAUUUGGUAUUUUUAGGACUGCUUUAGAAGUUAUUUUCUGCAUCAAUUUGCACUGUAAUUAGGCACUCAAUACCUAUCCAUUUAUUUCUUAUAAACAGUCCUAGAUAGAGUCAAGUUUGGGGAUAUUAUUAUAAAAUUGUAGCCAACAAGUCCAUUAUAAUUAACAGGCUUUGACUGAUUCUUUUACGUUUUACGAGUGCUCAAGGGGAGGGAUCUGGCCAGAAUUUGUGGGGGUGCACUUAGUCAUUGUUUCCAUUUUUAUUUAUUUCUUGUUCAGAUUCCUACUGGAAGAAGGAAGGCUGGUUGAUUAAAACAGAAUAUUAAGGGAGCUAGUCAGCUGAUUUUGGGGGCAAAAGUAUGUACAUGAAAAGUAUUUGAGAAUAAGACAGGCCACUGGCUUCUCUUUCAUCCUCCACUUCUUCUCUAUAUCCCUCUCUACUACUCAAAUCUCCUCAUACCUUUGCUAUUUAUUCCACUUUUAUAUUGUUGUUCUAGCAGUUAUCUACAAAUAUUCUGAGUUCAGAUCUCAAAUAGUUUUGUGCCAACUGCUGAAGAAACCUGCUAGGUGCACAGAAAUUCAGAUCCAAAAUCUGAUCUGAACCAAUUUUCCUUUCUGAUAAAUCUGUGUAAUCCCUAAUUUGGAGGUUACAUCAGAGAAGAGGAAGAAGGAGAAGAAGUAGAAGAAUGAGGAGGGGAAGGGUUUAUAAUUCUUCUCCAAUUUUUUGUUCAUUUCAGUGGUAAAAAAUAACAUUUUAGAAAAAAAGGCCAAUAAUUUGUUCCAACUACAAGAUAAGGCUUUUAUAAGCUGAACUAAGCUAUUGAAGUUCCGAUACAUUCUUUGACAUCUUUCUGAUUUUAUAAUUGGAAAUAAUUCACUUUUGGAUAGGAUGUGAUUGCCAUUAAUUGAAGCCUUUAUCAGUUAGAUGAAACUAAAGAUUGAUAAUAUUUGGCCGUUUUAAUGUUUAUGCUAAUCCUUGCUUAGCAAGUAGGUCUACUUUAUCUUCUUUUACUUUUGCUUUGGCUGGAGAAUUAUUCCAUAUUUGAUAUGAAGGGAACAAAAUUCAUGAUAGACCAGGACAGGCAAUUUGGUCCUCUUAUAUUUCAUUUCUGUGAUUUAACGUUAAGUAUUUCUGAAGCAAUCUCAUUUGUAAGAGGGGAUGCUUCUUGAUGCUUUAAGGCAGUUUAAGCCUGCAGUUGAAGUUCGGCAAGAGCAUUUUAGUUGUUCUCUGGGAGAUCAGAAAUAGCCUCCUUCUUCAGUCUCAUAUUAAUGGCUGUAUUCUUUCUGGUCCAAACUAUGUCAUGUUGGAGUUGACUCAGGGAAGUCAUUUGUAUAUGGAGGAGAAUAUCCAUGAAGCAAGUUCUUCUGGGUCAAUAUUCUUAUAUCAUCUCUUUUUUAUCUGUGGUCUGUGAGGGAUAGAACUGAAAUCUGCAUGAUAGUUUUCCACAGUGGGGUGAUGUUGUUUGAAGGAAAAUAUCAUUGACUUUGGAUGCACGGAAGUCCAUGUAAUGGGAAAAAAAAUACAAAUGUGGAAUCUUAUCCUUGUUAAUAUGAAAUUGAGAAGAGGAUAGAAAAUAAGCAUAGCCAAUUUUAGAACAGUUUGGAGAGUCGUCUUGAAAUUUGACAGAACUCAUACAUACUGUGGAUCUGCCAAUGCUAGAAAUGAAAUUUCAUUUUUGUGAACACCCUUUCUACAGAAGAUGAAUUUCUUGACAUGACUUUCUUAAAGCAUUGUAGCAAGAGAGAAUGGAGCAGGCUUCAUUGGCCAUAGAAGGCAAAUCUUGAUUUAGGGAUGAUAGCAAAUACAUUUCAAUACAGCUUUUGAUGGCUUAUAUAUUUGAAAAUCACAGCAUAUGGAAGGAUAUGGAAAUGAAAUUUGAUAAGGGGUUGGGAAACUCUCUGACUAGUUUUUCACUGAUUACCUUUGUAACGAUAGGACUAGGGAAACAACUGGUAGAUUACCUAGAUACGUGUCACAAAUCUCAAGCAUAGAAGGAUUUCAAAACAUCUAAUGGCUUAAUUGCUAAAAAUUCAAAAUUAGGCACUCCAGGACAGCACUAAUACAAGAUAUACACAACCAAAAUGUACUAUUCAACCUUACUGUUGUAAACUAACUUAGUGUUAUUUACAUUAAAAAUUAAGGACUUGGAACUCAUUACAAGUGCCCAUGUAGUUUAGGUUAAUAUUAUUUAGGAUUUAAAACUAUUUGGGAGUGAAGGGCCAUUACUUGCAUAAUUGCUAGAAAGGAGAUGUCAAUAUAUCAAGUUGAUGUAAGCAUGAUGCUCAAGUGCGAACUGUUUGUGUUGCCAAAUUUUAAGGAUCCUAAGAAUUAUACGUCCUAAAAAUCUGGGUUUAAACUUUAUACACUGAAGUCCUUGUGGUGGUAGUUUCUUCUUAUAUUUGUGAUGGUAGUAUUUUCUUACUUUUAGUCUAUGUUUAGUGUGGAACAAUCAUUUUAUGCAUUAAUUUAUGAUGAAUUCUUUGGUAUGGGAACAUGCAACUUAGAUCUAAGGAUGCCCUAAUAGGAAGCAUGACUCACUAGUUUUGAAGGGUGAAAAAGGAGAUUGAGAAUUAUUAGGAAGGAAUUUGAAGGAAGCGUGACUCACUAGUUUUAGGUACAAUGGUAAUGUAGCCUUUGAUAGGAAGGAAUUUGAAGGAAUUAUUAAGCCCGCUUCACACUGCUGGGAGAAAGUUUAUUCUGUUUUGGUCUUUGUCAAGCACAAUGAAGCCUCCUUUUCUUGCUUUAGAAUUUUGUGGUUGCUGCCAUCUUCAUUGUCCUUUUGACUUUGAUCAUGUAAUAAAAGGAAUGCAGGAAUCUUAACAAAUGGCAGUUACGUUGUGUUAUUUUACAAUAGAUAAAUAUACCGUUUAUUUUGAGUUUUUCUGUGGCAUUGGUUGGAGGAGUUCAGCUCUCAAA
rnacentral:lncRNA from 1 species